UGUUAAAAAUUUCAUCUAUUUUUACUUUUCAAAAUUGGCAUGGCUGACAAAAUAACUAGAUUGUUUUAUAUGGCGUGUCAUGUGUACCUUAUUCUAGCAUUUAGGGACCAGUUUUUAACAAUAAAAAUGGAUGUAAUUUUUAAUA
rfam:Gossypium hirsutum cultivar TM-1 unplaced genomic scaffold scaffold2526.1, whole genome shotgun sequence